rnacentral:rRNA from 1 species
GUGUCAGCCGCCGCGGUAAGACAGAGGGUGCAAACGUUGUUCGGAAUUACUGGGCGUAAAGCGCGUGUAGGCGGCAGCGUGUGUCGGGCGUGAAAUCCCAUGGCUCAACCAUGGAAGUGCACCCGAAACUGCGCAGCUAGAGUCCUGGAGAGGAAGGUGGAAUACUUGGUGUAGAGGUGAAAUUCGUAGAUAUCAAGUGGAACACCGGUGGCGAAGGCGGCCUUCUGGACAGUGACUGACGCUGAGACGCGAAAGCGUGGGGAGCAAACAGGAUUAGAUACCCGAGUAGUCC